rnacentral:rRNA from 1 species
AUACGGAGGGUGCAAGCGUUAAUCGGAAUUACUGGGCGUAAAGCGUGCGCAGGCGGUUUGUUAAGUCAGAUGUGAAAGCCCCGGGCUCAACCUGGGAACUGCAUUUGAAACUGGCAAACUAGAGUGUGGUAGAGGGAAGUGGAAUUCCUCAUGUAGCGGUGAAAUGCGUAGAUAUGAGGAGGAACACCAGUGGCGAAGGCGACUUCCUGGACCAACACUGACGCUCAUGUACGAAAGCGUGGGUAGCAAACAGGAUUAGAUACCCUGGUAGUCC